rnacentral:rRNA from 1 species
GAGAGGGGUAAGCCCUCGGCAUAUUGCUCAGUAACACGCGGAUAACCUGCCCUUGGGUUCGGGAUAACCCCUGGAAACUGGGACUAAUACCGGAUAGAUCAAAGAAACUGGAAUGUUCUCUGGUUAAAAACUCCGGUGCCCAAGGAUGGGUCUGCGGCCUAUCAGGUAGUAGUGGGUGUAACGUACCUACUAGCCUACGACGGGUAAGGGUUGUGAGAGCAAGAGCCCUGAGAUGGAUUCUGAGACAUGAAUCCAGGCCCUACGGGGUGCAGCAGGCGCGAAAACUUUACACUGCGGGAAACCGCGAUAAGGGGACCCCGAGUGCCAGCACCUAGUGCUGGCUGUCCAGCUGUCCAAAUAACAGUUGUUAGCAAGGGCCGGGCAAGACCGGUGCCAGCCGCCGCGGUAACACCGGCGGCCCGAGUGGUAGCCGUUAUUAUUGGGUUUAAAGGGUCCGUAGCCGGCCUAUUAAGUCUCUUGGGAAAUCUGGCGACUCAAUCGUCAGGCGUCCAAGAGAUACUGGUAGGCUUGGGACCGGGAGAGGUGGGAGGUACCCCAGGGGUAGGGG